GAAGAUGGCGGCUGUGUUCUGUUCUCUGGCCACUGCACACAAGGGGCUGGUGCUCCAAGACUUUGCUUCACACAUGUAAGUUCCCCUGGACAGCAAACCGUUGAUGCUCUGUUGCUGUAUCCAGGUUCUUUUUUCUGUCUCAAGGCUGAGCUACUACAAGGCUCAGCAUGGGGUUUUGGAAGGAGACAUCAACCCAGAAACCUCAGUUAGGAUCCCAGCUCCUCUCAAAAUCCCCCACUUGGCCAGUUUGUUCGUCUGUAACGAAGAUAUGUCCUACUCUUGACCUUGCACUUCUCCAUGAUAACCACUGAUUGGCCCCAUUUUACGUAGAAUUGACAUAGAGGCUCAGAAAGAUGAAGUGACUUGCCCAAGGUAUUACAGCAAGUUGGGAUUCAGUCCAAUGCCUGAGUCCCCCAAUGCCAUGCUUUCUGUCCCACAGUGGGAGCCCUGGGCACAAUUUGACUGCUUUUUCACUUUUGGGAAGUGAAGUCCCAGCGCACAGCCCACCCAGGGGCAUCUGUGAUGCACACCAUCUCCCUUUGUGCCCUGGUUCUGCAUGCCUCCCACUGUGAGAACCCUGAGAAACAGGCAGAUGAGCAACCAUGGAUCCAGAUCCUUUGGAGUCACUUCCUGGCAGAUGCCACAUCUAAGGACAUCCCAUGCCCUGCCAAGGGCUGUUUGGAUAUUCCAGCAGACUCUGGAUCAGGGGAAGCAGCUCAGCUUGGAAACAGGAAGCUUUCCCCAAGAGCUUUUUGGGGUGCAUCCAAAGGGACAGCGAUCUGGAUCCAGGUGGCCUGCAGCCUCCCACCCAGCAUCCCCCCAGCUCCGACUGCCUCGCCGACAGACGCUGCAGGAAGGGCAGCCUGGAAUCCGGUGAACUGGGAAAUCUGAGGAUGCAGCCUGUGGCAACUUGGUCCACACUCCAUGCUGGCCUGGUGGCCACCCUGAUUCACCAUCAGCGUGCAGGAAGAAGAGAGAAGGUUAGUCACAUCUUUUAGAGGCUGUGAUCUAAAGCAGCAUCUUGAGUACCUGAGCCGUUCUCCACAUCAACAUGACCAUAUUUUUAGCUUCUCCGGUGACACAGCCGGAAAGGUUUCAUUAAACAGCUGGGGGAAAGGCAGUUGGUAACUAGGAGUCCGCUGUUCUCACACGUAAAUCUCACACCUGAAGAAGCGCCCUGCCUAGGGCCCCCGGGGGACCUUCUUCCAGGCUGCGGGGCAGAGCUCUUGGGACUGACGAGGGACAGGUGAAGUGGGUAUAGGGUGGGUAGCCUCCAAGAGGUGCCCACUGAUCUUUGCCUCUGGGUGAACCUUAGGUAGUCCCCUCCCACAUUGUACCAGGUUUGUCUGCGUCGGGACCCAUCCAGGUGGGCAGAAGUGACAGUGCAUGACUUCCAAAACUGAGCCAUAAAAAGUACCAUGCUCUCCAAUCACCUUGGAAGGGGGUGGCUGCCAUAUUGUGAGGACACUCUAGCAGCCUGUGGAGCAACAUCCAUGGAGAGGAGCUGAAGCCCCUGGCCACCAGCCAGCACCAACUUCCCAGCCCUGUGAGUGAGCCACCUCGGAAGUAUAUUCUCAGCCCAGUCAAGGCAUCAGUUGCCUGCAGCCCAGGGCCAACCCUGUGACUGCAAUCUCAAGAGACACCCUGAGUCAGAACUACCCAGCUAAGCUGUUCCCAGAUUCUUGACACUCACAAACUAUGUAAAAAAUAAUAAAUAUUCAUUUUGGUAUCAAGCUGCUAAGCUUGGGGGAUUAUUUGUUACACAGCAAUGCAUAAUUGAUACAGAAUGGAUCCAGAUGCCCAAGGAUAGCCAGAUAUUGCCCUGAGAAGAAAAGUUGGCUUUUUAUGAUUUUUUUUCCCCUCACUCCUUUCCCAAAGUGCUUUUACAUAAGAAAGGGAUGGGUUGAUGGAUAAGGAGUCUAGAUACUUGGAUUUGUGUCCUGGCUCCGUCAUUCCCCUCUAUUAGCCUUACUUUCCCACCCGUAAAGGAGAGGAGUUAAAAGUGUACCUGUCAGCUCUGAAAUCAUAGGGUCUCAUAGUGGUUAAAACCACAAGUUCUGAGUCAGGAGGACUGGUUGUGAACCACGGUUGUUGUGUGACCCCAGGCUAAUUCCCUAACUUCUCGGAGCCUCAGUUUCACCCUCUAUAAAGUAGGUUUAAUGCUAUCUACUUCAUGGCAUCAUUACAAAAAAUCCAAUAAAAUAAUACAUAUAAACUGCUACACAGUAAGUGCUUAAUUAAUGGUAGUCACCACUACCAAUAAUGAGAUAGUACAACAGCUACAAUUAUUUCCACUUAUAGUUAAGAUACAGAGAGUUCAGUUGCUUCUGGUGGGCGUGGAACUGACAGACUUGAGAGAACUUUGGGGGGGGGUUCCAGUAAUAUUCUAAUAUAUCUCAUAAGAAGUUUGCAUCACAGAUUUCCCAUUGUGGCUCAAUGGUUAAUGAACCCAACUAGGAUCCAUGAGGAUGUGGGUUCAAUUCCUGGCCUUGCUCGGUGGGUUAAAUAUCCAGUGUUGCCAUGAGCUCUGGUGUAUGUCACAGGCAUGGCCCAGAUCCCCAGUUCUGUGGCUAUGGUGUAGGCCUGCAGCUGCCAUUCCAAUUUGACCCCUAGCCUGGGAACUUCCAUAUGCCACAGUGCAGCCCUAAAAAAAGGCAAAAAAAAAAAAAAAGCAUCACAUAAAAAGCAUAUAUAUUUGUCAAUGGUAGACCUAAAUUUGUACAUUUUAUUGGUUUUUUUUGUUUGUUUGGCUGCACCCAUGGCGUGCAGAAUUUCCCAGGCCGGGGAUGGAACCUGCUGCCAUGACAAUGCCAGAUCCUUAACCCCCUGUGCCACAGGAGAACCCUGGGUUUUUUUGUUUUGUUUUGUUGUUUUUUUUUUUUUUUUUUUUUGUCUUUUUAGGGCUUCACCCUCAGCAUAUGGGGGUUCCCAGGCUAGGGGUCUAAUCACAGCUGUAGUUGUCGGUUUACACCACAGCCACAGCAACUCAGGAUCUGAACCGCAUCUGCAACCUACUCACAGCUCAUGGCAACGCUAGAUCCUUAAUCCCCUGAUUGAGGCCGGGGAUCGAACCCGCAACCUCAUGGUUACUAGUUGGGUUCAUUAACCACCGAGCCACGACAGGAACUGUUGUAUUUUGUAAAUUAAACAUAUAUUAAACUCUAGAUAAUAAUAAAAAUGCUGAAGUAUUAGGGGGGGGGAGCUACAGCGAGUAUUGAGGACUUCAUUGAUCUGGAACAGACCACGGUAGGGAUAGGAGUUUGAGAAACUGCCCUAGAGAAACUUUCACACAUGUGCCCCCAAAAUCAUACAAAAAUUUCACUGCAGUGCUGUUUGUAGUAGGGGGCGCUUGGAAGAAUCCCAGUGCUCUUCACCAGGGGAAGGCAAAGGGUAUGUAUUAUUUAGGAACAUGUACCGUAUGAGUAAGAGCAAGAGGCCAUGCAUGAGUAUAAUAAGCUUUGAAUUCAAGAUGCUGGUUGCCCCUGGAAGGGGAAGCGGGCCGUGAUGGGGAGGAGAUGCUAUGGGGCUUUGCAGGGUGCUUUGUUAAUAGGAAACAGUAUUUCUUAAACUGGGUGGCAAGCGCAGGUACUCAUUGCAUUAUUGAUGCCUACUGGAUGUCUGAAAUAUUUAAUUUAAAAAUAGAUGUGGGAGUUCUCACCAUGGUGCAGUGGGUUAAGAAUCCAACUGCAGUGGCUCGGGUUGCAGUUUCGGCUCAGAUUCAAUCCCUGGCCCAGGAAUUUCCAUAUGCCCCAGUGCAGCCAUAAAAAAAAUAAAUAAAAAAUAGAUGUGCAUAGCGUGUUCCUGGUGGCUUAGCGGUUUAGGAUUUGGCAUUGUCACUGCUGUGGUGUAGGUUUGAUUCCCUGGCCCAGGAACUUCCACAUACCAGGGAUUCAGACAAAAAAAGAAAAAAACUAGAUGUGCAGAGAAAAAUAUUUAGCGUAAUUGUGCAUGGAUAUUUUUUUCUUCUUGUUGUUUAUUUAUGCCUUCUCUUACAUCUGUAACAAUCCCAUCUUGCUUCGAAGAAAUAAAGUCAUUGGCUAC
rnacentral:lncRNA from 1 species